GCAUAUCAAUAAGCGGAGGAAAAGAAACCAACAGGGAUUGCCCUAGUAACGGCGAGUGAAGCGGCAACAGCUCAAAUUUGAAAUCUGGCUCUCGGGCCCGAGUUGUAAUUUGUAGAGGAUACUUUUGAUGCGGUGCCUUCCGAGUUCCCUGGAACGGGACGCCAUAGAGGGUGAGAGCCCCGUCUGGUUGGAUGCCAAAUCUCUGUAAAGUUCCUUCAACGAGUCGAGUAGUUUGGGAAUGCUGCUCUAAAUGGGAGGUAUAUGUCUUCUAAAGCUAAAUACCGGCCAGAGACCGAUAGCGCACAAGUAGAGUGAUCGAAAGAUGAAAAGCACUUUGAAAAGAGAGUUAAAAAGUACGUGAAAUUGUUGAAAGGGAAGCGUUUAUGACCAGACUUGGGCUUGGUUAAUCAUCUGGGGUUCUCCCCAGUGCACUUUUCCAGUCCAGGCCAGCAUCAGUUUUCCCCGGGGGAUAAAGGCGGCGGGAAUGUGGCUCUCUUCGGGGAGUGUUAUAGCCCACCGUGUAAUACCCUGGGGGGGACUGAGGUUCGCGCAUCUGCAAGGAUGCUGGCGUAAUGGUCAUCAACGACCCGUCUUGAAACACGGACCAAGGAGUCGUCUUCGUAUGCGAGUGUUCGGGUGUCAAACCCCUACGCGUAAUGAAAGUGAACGCAGGUGAGAGCUUCGGCGCAUCAUCGACCGAUCCUGAUGUUCUCGGAUGGAUUUGAGUAAGAGCAUACGGGGCCGGACCCGAAAGAAGGUGAACUAUGCCUGUAUAGGGUGAAGCCAGAGGAAACUCUGGUGGAGGCUCGCAGCGGUUCUGACGUGCAAAUCGAUCGUCAAAUAUGGGCAUGGGGGCGAAAGACUAAU
rnacentral:rRNA from 1 species